GAUGAACGCUAGCUACAGGCUUAACACAUGCAAGUCGAGGGGUAACAAGAGAAAAGCUUGCUUUUCUUGUUGACGACCGGCGCACGGGUGAGUAACGCGUAUCCAACCUGCCCAUAACUAGGGAAUAACCUUGCGAAAGUAAGACUAAUACCCUAUAAUUUCCUUUGACGGCGUCUGACGAGGACUAAAGAUUUAUCGGUUAUGGAUGGGGAUGCGUCAGAUUAGCUUGUUGGCGGGGUAACGGCCCACCAAGGCAACGAUCAGUAGGGUUUCUGAGAGGAAGGUCCCCCACAUUUGAACUGAGACACAGUCCAAACGCAUACGGGAGGGAGCAGUUAGGAAUAUUGUUCAAUGGGCGGAAGCCUGAACCAGCCAAGGAGCGUGCAGGAGGACUGCCCUAUGGGUUGUAAACUGCUUUUAUACAGGAAUAAAGUUAGCCACGUGUGGUUAUUUGUAGGUACUGUAUGAAUAAGGACCGGCUAAUUCCGUGCCAGCCGCCGCGGUAA
rnacentral:rRNA from 1 species